GGGCUCGUAGCUCAGCUGGUUAGAGCGCAGCGUUGACAUCGCUGAGGUCCCGUGUUCGAGCCACGGCGAGCCUGACA
rnacentral:tRNA from 1 species